GCUGGGCGCGGUGGCGGGCGCCUGUAAUCCCAGCGACUCGGGAGGCUGAGGCAGGAGAAUCGUUUGAACCCAGGAGGUGGAGGUUGCAGUGAGCUGAGAUCACGCCACUGCACUCCAGCCUGGGUGACAGAGCAAGACUCCGUCUCAA
rnacentral:SRP_RNA from 1 species